rnacentral:rRNA from 1 species
AGUUCGUGAGCUAACGCGUAAGCGAGGCAGCGACCUAAGGUAGGGUCAGCGAUUGGGGUGAAGUCGUAACAAGGUAGCCGUAGGAGAACCUGCGGCUGGAUCACCUCCUUUCUA